UGGUGGGUAGUUUGACUGGGGCGGUCUCCUCCCAAAGAGUAACGGAGGAGCACGAAGGUUAGCUAAUCCUGGUCGGACAUCAGGAGGUUAGUGCAAUGGCAUAAGCUAGCUUGACUGCGAGAGUGACGGCUCGAGCAGGUGCGAAAGCAGGUCAUAGUGAUCCGGUGGUUCUGAAUGGAAGGGCCAUCGCUCAACGGAUAAAAGGUACUCCGGGGAUAACAGGCUGAUACCGCCCAAGAGUUCAUAUCGACGGCGGUGUUUGGCACCUCGAUGUCGGCUCAUCACAUCCUGGGGCUGAAGUAGGUCCCAAGGGUAUGGCUGUUCGCCAUUUAAAGUGGUACGCGAGCUGGGUUUAGAACGUCGUGAGACAGUUCGGUCCCUAUCUGCCGUGGGCGCUGGAGAAUUGAGGGGGGCUGCUCCUAGUACGAGAGGACCGGAGUGGACGCAUCACUGGUGUUCGGGUUGUCAUGCCAAU
rnacentral:rRNA from 1 species